GUUUACACUCCUAGCAGUCGAACUGGAACAGCAUACAAUAAAUCCCCCCCAAGAACGAGACAAAGCUCUGUGUUGAGGGUCAAGCAGUGAACAGACAGAGCUGUGGGUUUAUUGUUUUUAUAUACACAUUAGUACCACCCACAGGGUUUUGGAAAACAACCAAUAAACACAUACAAUACACUCAGACACUCCCACACAAAAU